rnacentral:sRNA from 1 species
GUGACCCUUGAGCUUCUCGCGGAUCAUCUGCAUCAGCGCGACCUCGUAGCGGUCCUCGUACUGCUUCGGAUCGAAGGUGGUCGUCUUCU